rnacentral:misc_RNA from 1 species
GGACACACUAAUUUAGUUGUGUUGUUAUGAUCUGCAGGAAAUACUAAAAACUUGAGACACAAUAAUAGGGCCUCCUAAAUCUAAUUAAUCUAAUUUACUUCAUGUUUUUGGGUUUAACUUUAAAAUUAUUAUAUAUCAAAAUAUUAUUAAUUAAUCAUGAAAUUAAAAUAUUAUAAAUCUCAAUGAACAUAUUUAUUGUAUGACAUUAAUAAAAUAUAAAAUUAUAAAACUUAUAAAAAAAAAUUACUGGCUAAAAAAAUUUACUUGCCAUACCAUUUAUGAAAGAAUUUUUUAUGAUUAAAAAUUUUUUAUGAAAGAAAAAAAAGAAAUAAAAUUUAUCAUGAAAGAAAUAAAAAAAUAAAAAUCUCUCUGUUACUUGCUCUCUCUCUCUCUCUCUCU